rnacentral:rRNA from 1 species
GAUGAACGCUGGCGGCGUGCCUAAUACAUGCAAGUCGAACGCUGGAAAUCUAGCUUGCUAGAUUGAAGGAGUGGCGAACGGGUGAGUAAUACAUAAGCAACCUACCCACGAAGACUGGGAUAAUCUCUGGAAACGGGGACUAAUACCGGAUAGGUAAUCGGAAGGCAUCUUCUGAUUAUUAAAGGUUAAAAACACUGGUGGAUGGGCUUAUGGCGCAUUAGUUAGUUGGUGAGGUAACGGCCCACCAAGACGAUGAUGCGUAGCCGGCCUGAGAGGGUGAACGGCCACAUUGGGACUGAGACACGGCCCAGACUCCUACGGGAGGCAGCAGUAGGGAAUUUUCGGCAAUGGGGGAGACCCUGACCGAGCAACGCCGCGUGAGUGAUGACGGCCUUCGGGUUGUAAAGCUCUGUUGUAAGGGAAGAACGGUAGAUAGAGAAUAUCUAAAUGACGGUACCUUACCAGAAAGCCACGGCUAACUACGUG